UACGUAGGGUGCAAGCGUUAAUCGGAAUUACUGGGCGUAAAGCGUGCGCAGGCGGUUCGUUAAGUCAGAUGUGAAAGCCCCGGGCUCAACCUGGGAACUGCAUUUGAAACCGGCGGGCUUGAGUGUGGCAGAGGGGGGUGGAAUUCCGCGUGUAGCAGUGAAAUGCGUAGAGAUGCGGAGGAACACCGAUGGCGAAGGCAGCCCCCUGGGCCAACACUGACGCUCAGGCACGAAAGCGUGGGGAGCAAACAGG
rnacentral:rRNA from 1 species